GAAAAUCUAUCAUUUCCCUAUUUCAAAAAAUACCCCAACUCCAACACAUGAGGAUGGUUCCACUUUUUCUACUACAGAGGUGGAUGUAUAACUCAGACGGAGAAAGCAAGCCGUUAGUGUAGGAGUGUGGGUGGCCGGUGAAACUAGAGAAUAAUCCCUGGCCAACAGCUUCAGAGAAACGGGUACCACAGUCCUACAGCCACAUGGAACUGAAUUCUGCCAGCAACAGUGAAUGAGCUUGGAAGUGAAUACAUCCCCAGAGCCUCAAGAAAAGACUACAGCCCUACAGGUGUAAAGAAGUCUGACUGCAAAGGGACCCCGAGACUUGAGGAAUAACAUGGUGUACGCGGGCCUCUGACUGUUGUGGCCUCUCCCGUUGCGGAGCACAGGCUCUGGAUGCACAGGCUCAGCAGCCAUGGCUCACGGGCCCAGCCGCUCCGUGGCAUGUGGGAUCUUCCCGGACUGGGGCACGAAUCCGUGUCCCCUGCAUCGGCAGGCGGACUCUCAACCACUGCACCUCCAGGGAAGCCCAUCCAUUUAAUUUUCUUAAUGGUAUCCUCUGACAAGUGAAAGUUUAAUUUUGCCUACAACACAAUGGAGAAUACCUUAAGACCUUGCCAACAGAUUAUGUUGUCAAAGUUUUGGAUUUUUGCCAGCGUAGAUUUAUCCACUGAAAUACUCUGAGAGCAGUUAACACCUCAGUAAAAAUGAAUACUCCUGAUCAGUUGCCACUGAAAGAAAUCAGAGAUCUUUGAGGAAAUUGUUAACUUCAGAUCUGGAGCAUAGAAAAUGCAAGAUGUGGACACUGAGACUCUUAGAAAUGGCAUUCAUCGAGCCCCUAAUGUAUGCUAGGCAUGGUUACAG